UACCAUACAAAAAUUUUAUUGUAUUUAAUAUUUUUGUUAUUAAAUAAUACUUUUAUAAGAUGUUCUACACUUUUGUCAAAACAUUACAUAUUAUAUAUAUCUUCGACAGAUAUUAGUGACUUUAUUUCGAACGUAAAUUUUAACCAAUUAAAUUAUUGAAGAAUCAUUAUUACAUAAAGUUCAAGUAUUAAUUAAUAUUUGUUUGUUUCUUUGCAGGUUCAUAGAGACCUCAUAGAUACGCUACAAAAAUGACGGAAGCCAUCAAACACAUGUUUUCUCCUAAUUGCCCGCUGCCUCCAAAUUCGUCCCACAUAGAAUUUAUUAAAGAAUCAGAUGAAGUCGAUGGUUUAGAUUUUAGAUUUCCGAUUUGCGUCCGCCCGUUUGGAAAGUUUCAAGGACUGACUGUGAGCGUGGUGUUACGGGCCGGAUUUUCCCAUCCGACCUCGUAACCGACUUAUGAAUUGCAACACUACUAAAAGGAGGAAGAACAUAUCAUUUCCUGUAUAAGCUAACAAUUCUCAUUGAUGAAGGAGCAAAAUCAAAUAUCAGAGGAAACACAGAGGCAGCAAGAGGACUCAUCUCUGCAAAACUAAUCAUAUGGGAUGAGGAAAUUUUAGAUAAAAUCUACCAGUAGUGCCUCAAGUCAAAAAAGCAGCAAUAAAUUAUUAGCUAUAAUGCAGAGCCCUGGCGGAAAAAAUUUCUACGAAAAUGUAA
rnacentral:misc_RNA from 1 species